AUUUUACCAUCUUAUUCAUUUAACAAAUUUGUAUUAAUGUCUGCCCUGUGCCAGGCAUUAUUCUAAGAGAUUGGGGACACAGCAGGGAACAAAAGCCAAGUUCCUGCUUUUGUGGAAAUUGUAUUCUUUCUUUGGGGUAGGGAGAAGAAGUAGACAAACAAAAAAACAAGUAAAUACAUGUUCUUUCUGGUGGUGGUAUAUACUAAGAAGAAAAAUGGAGCAGGGUAAGGGGACAGAGGUGCUAUUUUAGAGGUGGAAGGAACAGUGCUACUUUAUGGUGGUCAGGAAGACCUCUGCUGGGCAUUUCAGUAGAGGUCUGGAGACUGAGCUGGGGAGGUCUGUGGGAAAAGGCCAUUCAGACUAAAGGACCAUGUUUUUGAGGAAUGGCAGAGGGUCUGGUGUGACUGGACAGGGAUGAGUGAAGGUCAGUGAGGGGCCAGAUCACGCAGGCCCCUGGAAGCCACUCAGAAAAGUAUGUGUUUUCUGAGGGAAAUGAGAUACCAUGGAAGGAUUUUGAGCAGAGGAGUGUUUUUCAAGGAUUAUUCUAGUUUCUGUGUGGAGGACAAGAGCAACGAAGGGAGACCAGCUGAGCAUUCACCAUGGGCUGAGGAGACAGUGGCUGCGACGUGCAUGGACCAGUGGAAAUGGUUACAAGUGGUUGUACUUUGCCUGUGUUCCUGAGGGCAGAAGAAUUUGGUGAUGGGAAUGUGGGUUGUGAGAAAAAGAAGCCAAAAAUGAUUUCAAGGUUUUGGACCUGAACAGCUGGAAGAAAGUUGCCCUCUACUGAGAUGGGAAAAACAGGAAGUUCAGGUUUCAGAGGGAAGGUUGGAAGUUUGGUUUUGGACA
rnacentral:lncRNA from 10 species